rnacentral:tRNA from 1 species
GCCUGGGUGGCUCAGUCGGUUGAGCAUCCGACUUCGGCUCAGGUCACGAUCUCGCAGUCCGCGAGUUCGAGCCCCGCGUCGGGCU